CGGCGAUAUAUUUUUCUCUUCGGUUUUUGUUUAUUUUCUUAUGUUGGAUCUUAGAAUUAGGGUUCUUCGUCUUUGUUUUCUCAUAUGCUUAGAGAAUGUUUAAGGCUCGCAGUUUGAUUCAUAGUUUAAAAGUUGUUUUCAAAUAGAGAAGAGAAAUUAGAGAGAUGGAAGGGCCUUUCUUAAUCCCAGCUAAGUUUGAUGAAGUACUUAUCUGAUUCAUGUGAGGCCUAAACUAAAGCUGCGAGUUUCGCUGAUAAUACCUUCUUCUCUUUUAUCCCAGAAGGUGUUUUAUUAGUAACUCUGCUUACAUAUAUAUUCCCUAAUCAAUUCUCUAAUUUACUUGGGUUUUAUGACACUAUUUUGUACUCUGUAUAAACUGUGAUUGUUUUGGUUUAGGUAAAUAGUUUUUGUUGAUUUCUAGUGUUUUUGUUUAACGUUAAUGGCAAUGAGCUUUAGAGAAAGGGAUCCUAGAGUCAAAAACCCUUCUGAAAACUGAAUCGAAAUGAUUAUGUCAAUGGGCCUGGUGAAUGUUUAAGAAGCCCAAUUUGGUUAAGAAUUGAAAUAUAAUUGUGAGC
rnacentral:sRNA from 1 species